rnacentral:rRNA from 1 species
GACGAACGCUGGCGGCGGGCCUAAUAAAUGCAAGUCGAGCGAAGCGGCGGAUGGGUGAGUAACGCGUGGGUAACCUGCACUUAAAUCUGGGAUACCAUUUGGAAACAGAUACUAAUACCGGAUACUAAAGGAUGGAGCUGUGUGGCAUUAGCUCGUUGGUAAGGUAACGGCCUACCAAGGCGAUGAUCCAUAGCUGGGUUGAGAGAAUGAUCGGCCACAUUGGGACUGAGACACGGCCCAAACUCCUACGGGAGGCAGCAGUAGGGAAUCUUCCACAAUGGACGCAAGCCUGAUGCAGCAACGCCGCGUGUGUGAAGAAGGUCUUCGGAUUGUAAAGUUCUGUUGUUCGGGAAGCGUUAACCAAAGAGAAAGUAACGGCUAACUACGUGCCAGCAGCCGCGGUAAUAC